UACGUAGGGCGCAAGCGUUAUCCGGAAUUAUUGGGCGUAAGAGCUCGUAGGCGGUUUGUCGCGUCUGCCGUGAAAGUCCGGGCUCAACUCCGGAUCUGCGGUGGGUACGGGCAGACUAGAGUGAUGUAGGGGAGACUGGAAUUCCUGGUGUAGCGGUGAAAUGCGCAGAUAUCAGGAGGAACACCGAUGGCGAAGGCAGGUCUCUGGGCAUUAACUGACGCUGAGGAGCGAAAGCAUGGGAGCGAACAGG
rnacentral:rRNA from 1 species